AACACAAACCCCGGCGCUGAAUGCGUCAAGGAAUUUUAAAUUUGCUCUGAGCGCACCUGCAUGGCACCGGAGACGGUUUUCGUGCGGGUUGUGCUCCGACCCAUAAUAUAGAAUGACUCUCGGCAACGGAUAUCUAGGCUCUUGCAUCGAUGAAGAACGUAGCGAAAUGCGAUACUUGGUGUGAAUUGCAGAAUCCCGUGAACCAUCGAGUCUUUGAACGCAAGUUGCGCCCGAUGCCAUUAGGUUGAGGGCACGUCUGCCUGGACGUCACAUAUCGAAGCCUCUUGACAAUUUCCUUUUGAUAGGUAUUGUGCAGAGGGAAUGUUGGCCUCCCGUGAGCUCCAUCGUCUCAUGGUUGGUUGAAAAUCGAGACCUUGGUAGGGUGUGCCAUGAUAGAUGGUGGUUGUGUUACGCACGAGACCAAGUCAUGUGCUGCUCUAUUGAAUUUAGCCUCUUUUACCCACAUGCGUUUCUAAACGCUCGUGAUGAGACCUCAGGUCAGGCGGGGCUACCCGCUGAAUUUAAGCAUAUCAAUAAGCGGAGGAAAAGAAACUAACAAGGAUUCC
rnacentral:rRNA from 1 species